rnacentral:lncRNA from 1 species
UAAGGUUAUAAACAAGUAAGUUAUACAUGAGGAUGAUUUUAUGGUGACCUUGUGAUCAUGGGCCUAUACUUGUGAUGUAUGAAAUGUGGUGAAAAUGAUUUGUGAUAUAUAUGUUAAAAUGAGGUUAAUACAAAGAAAGUGUGAAAGAGUGAAUUAGCAAUAAAACUGUUUUGGACAGUAUCAGUGACGUGAUUUUGAAAAAUCACCAAAACUAGUAUAAAUUGAAUCAGAGACUGAAUAAGAUAUCAAAUUAAAGCUUAAUGAGUCUAUUUUCAUAUAAAAGAAAUAUAUAAAGCAAAGGAGUUCUAUAUAUUGAGAUAUUUAUAUUUUUGUUAGACUAAUUCAGAAUGAUUACGUGAUCCCCUAUUCUGACUUUGGAAAAUCACAAAAAUUUUGAUAAAAAUAAUUAGAGGCUCAAAAUUAUAUUUUUAAAAUCCAUAAUGAGUCUAUUUUCAAGAUAAAUCAACAAGAAAAUUAUCCAAGUUCUGUAAUAUGAGAUAAUUAUUUUUUAGUGAAGAGAGGUCAGAACUGUCAGAAAGUGAAACAGGGGAAAUUUUAAUGAAAAACUAUACUAAUUUGCUAAACCAAAAAUUAUGAAAAUUUUAUGGUGGAAAGAUAUGUGAGUCUAGUUUCAGGGUAAAUUUAUGGAUCUUAAUUUGGAGCUCUGUAGCUCGAAUUAUAAAUAAUUAAGUGACUAUGACUCGUGUGGACAGUUUGAUGUGAACAUUUAUUAGUAAAUUGUGAAAUCGUACUUACAAGAAUGCUAUAUACAUUAAGGAUGUGGAAUGGAGAGGAGGAGGAGGAAAAUAAAUAUAUGUGGAAUACAUGGAAACUAUGGUAUAUGAAAUAUUGAUAUAAUGAAAUAAAUGAUAUGUGUUUAUAAGAAAACAAAAAGAGAAUGUUAUGUAUCAUGACAUAUAUAUGACUAGUCUCAAUGUAAUGCUUGUUGGGUAUGGAAUUAAAUUGAAAUGUUUCAGGCAAACAUGUUAUUCUGCGCAUCUGAAUCAUGGUAUUUUAUAAAGAUAUGAUCUAGCUUUAAAUAUGAAUGCUUGAUGAUUAAGCUGAAGAUAUUUGGUAAGAUGAUAAUCUUGGUAUAAAUGUAUAAGUGGUACUAUAAUAAACAAGGUAAAAUGAGUAUGAGAGACACAUGUAUGAUGGCAUACAAAUGCUAUGUUUGUGGUUUAAUUGAGGAUGUUUAAUCAUUAAAUGAAUACCAUGUUAUAUGCUUUUGAUUUUGUAUAAGUUUGUAAGAGAUCAAGGUUGACCAAAGCUUGGAAAAUAGCCUAGGUAUAUUCCACACAGGUAGAGACACGACCAUGUGUCUCAAUCGUGUAUGGAACACGACUUUGGGACACGGGCGUGUGGAGCCUUAAAGCAUGAAAUUUCCAAGAUUUUCAUAAGUUCUCGGUUUAGUCCCAAACCCUUUCUAAAGUAUGUUUUGGGCUCCGUAGACUCAAAUAAGGGACUAUGUGUAAGAGAAUGAACGCUUUGAAAUAUGAAUAAAAUUUUAUGGCUCGUAUUUUAGUUUAAUGUUUGUAUGUUUGUCUGGUAACGCCUCGUACCUUAGCCCGGCCUCGGAUACGGGUAAGGGGUGUUACAUUUAGUGGUAUCAGAGCAGGUUUAGUCGAUUCUCGAACUAAUAUAGCAAGUGUAAGAGUUUAGUUAUACAUGCCACAAAUAUGUGAUAGUGUGAUGUCUCCCGACACUAAUAAGGACUAUUUUGUUUAAAAUGAAAUAUUCUCCAAUGGAGCUACAUCUGACCAUUUGAUAGCGAUAUUGAAGUAUUUGAAUAAAGUGUAGCUAUGAUGUGUUAAACUCGGAAAGGUAUGAAUAAGAAUUCGUGAUAUAUGUAUAUGUGAUAAUAUGUGAGAUGAAAGUUUAUAUAGUGAUAUAUUUAUUCAUAUUUGUUUGGCCUUCAUAUGCUGUUGCAUGCUUAACUAAAUUAAUUAGUAAAUGUGAUGAUUAAAGUUAUUCAAAAUUCAUAGAAUGUAUGAGUGAGUGCACUUGUUUGAAAUGAGAUAAUUUGAAAUUUUAUGUAAGACAGUAUGAAUAAUAAAUUGUUUGAAGUGGAUAGUAUGAUUAUAAUGACAUAUGUGGAUAAUGAAAAAAAAUGUGUCAUAUAGAUAUAUGUCAGAAUUGAGUUAGAGACUGUACGACCUCACCCCCUUACCGAUGAGGUGUAUAUAAUGGAAAUUCAUGAGAAUCAUGUUAACUAUGUUCCUAAGUGUGGAAUCAAAGAGUUCAGUGAUAAAAUAAUUAUAGAUAUGACCAGAGUCUGAGAAUGGUUGACAAGUGAAGGACAGAGUUAGACAAAUAUCAGAGUUUACUGAGUUAUCUUGGGAUUCAAAUUGAUGACAGAGUGUUUCUGAAAGUAUCGUCUUGAAAACAAUUAGUUAGUAAUGCUGGAAAUUAUGAGAAAGAUACUAAACCUCACUCUGGUAAGAUUUUCGAGGAUAAAAAUCUCUAAAGGGGGGAGAGUUGUAAUAGCCCAAAAUUGGGUCUAGUUGGAACAAAGGUUUCGGGACCACAAAAUCUGAGAUAUAUAUAAUUAUUUUAUGAUUAUUUUGAGGUCUAUGAUAUGAUUGCAUGAUUGUGUGAAAUUUUCGUGAAGAAAUUCUAUGCAUAAAGUGCUUAAUUCGAAGUUAGGGACUAAAUUGAAUAAGUUACAAAACUUGCAUUCUAGAAGUUUCUAAAAUAAAGUAGAAAAAGAAUGAUAUCAUCCCUUUCACCCCUUCUUCUUCACCGAAAUUCUCAGAAAAAUAAGGGUUCUUGGAGCUUUAAAAUUUCAGCCAAGCUAUCCUCUUGCAAGUAAGUCAAUUUGAAGGUUAUUUUUUAUAUUUUUUGUACUUUUGCAACCCUUACGACAUGAGCUAGCUAAUGGAGGGACCAUUUUACAAAAUGGAUGAUAGUCUAGGGAUUUGCCAUGAAAGGAUUUAUGAUGUUUGUUGAGUUUUUAUGAAAGAAAAUGAAUCUUCGUUGUGUUGUAAACAACUUUUGUGAAAGAACUUCCCAUGAAAACCCUAAUAGGACCAUUUUGUAAAGUUUGUAAAAUGGAUAGAAAGUUUUUUAAAUAAUGGGAAUUUUGGGUCACUAUAAGGGUAAAAAGGGUUCGGCUAGGCUUAAGAUUCGAAGAAAUUCGAUAAAAAUUGAUUUUCGAGACUAGGGGUAAAGUGGUCAUUUUGUGAAAGUUUAUGGGUAAAAUGGUCAUUUUGCCAAAAAAUGUGAGCUUUUGAUUGUAUAAUUUAAUUUAGUAAUUAAAUGAGUGAAUUCUUAUUAUUUUAGAUCAAGAAAUACAAAAUUCGAACCUAAACCGGGGGAAGGCCAAGCAAGUAGAUUAAAUCAUCUAGUCGCCUACAUUUUUAUAAUUCGAGGUAAGUUGUGUGUUAAUAAUGCAACUAUAUUGCUAUGAUGUAUGAAUGAAUUGAUAUUGCACAAAUUGUUUGAUUAUGAUUAUGAGAAUGUAUGUCGAGAUAUUAAUGUAGUAAAGACUUCCAGUUGAACAUUUGGAACAUACUUGGAUAUUCGUACCAUCACAUUAGGUAGUAUGUGAGCCAAUGUAAAACAUGACUGGGACAUGCAUUGGCAUUGAGACGAGAGCUAGUGUAAGACAUGUCUGGGACAUGCAUCGGCCUCGGGAUAUACAAGCUAGUGUAAGACCUGUCUGGGACAUGGCAUCGUCACUAAUAGGUGAGAGCUAGUGUAAGACCUGUCUAGGACAUGGCAUCGGCCUCUAUAUAUGAAAGUUAGUGUAAGACCUGUCUAGGACACGGGAUCGACUUUAAUGCACUAGCCAGUGUAAGACGAUGUCUGGGACAUGGCGUCGACAUCUUAUCCCAUGUUCAGGGUUAUUGAGUAUCCGAUAAUAUUUCAAAUGGUUCAACAGAACAUUUGUGAUUUAUAUCGAAAUGAGAAAGUUAUGACCAUGUGGUGAGUGAUACAUGUACUUAAUUGAAAUGUAUGAGAUAUGGGCUCAAUAUAUGCCAUAUGAAUUGUAUUAGAUGGUAAUGAGUAAGUUGUACUUAUGUCUAUUUAUUGUAUACAUGGACAAGCUAUAAAAUGUUAUGAGCAUAUUGUUGUAUGAUAAUUACUUGAUGUUUAUUUGCAUGCAACUUACUAAGCUUUAUGCUUACCCCUUUUCCUUUCUAUUUUCUUAUAGAGCCGCUAAAAUAGGUUGAGGAUCAUUGCCUACGUCGGAGAAGCCAGUCAUACUAUGACUUGAAACACUCGGUAUAGCUAGUUCUUUUGUUUUGAUUAUGGCAUGUAUAGGAUCUUGACUUUAGAGUUUUGUGUAAUUGUUAAUUGGCCAAAUGUGUUGGCUUAAUUUAAUACUUUACUCAUUUUGUAUAAGGCCAUGAAAAAUGGUCGAUAUUGAAAGUUAUUAUGUGAAUGCAAGAAAACCUUUCGUGAAUGUGAAAUUGUUGGCAUGGUUGAAUAUGUAGGAAAAGGUAUAUAGGCCUUAGUUAUGGUUGCUUAGUUGAGAAAUCUUGUUGUGAUAGACUUGGUAUGAUAGAUUGUGUUUCAGGGUGGCAAAGGGCUUGGUAGAUAGCCUUAUAUUGUCCACAUGGGUAGACACACUAGGCUGUGUGUGAUACCCGGUCAGCACCAUGGGCGUGUUGUUCAACUGUGUGUCCCCUGCACCUCGAAUUUGCAAGUCACUAUGCAUGGUAAUAAACACACUGACAGAGACACGGUCAUGUGUCUCAGCUGUGUGGAGGACACGGCCUAUGGCCAUGGGCGUGUGCCUUGGCCGUGUGCCCCCAAAUAGUUGCUGAUGUCAGAAACAGAAUGUAAAGGUUUUUAGACACGGGCUAAGACAUGGGCGUGUCAUGGCCGUGUGAGGGACACUGGCCAUGGACACGGGCAUGUGUCAAGCCAUGUGAAAAUCCCUGUAGGUUCGAAUUUGGAAUUUAAUUCAUACGGGCUCAGGGCACGGGCAUGUCCCCUUAUACUUAGGCAAUGUGAACCACACGGGCCCUUGGCACGGCCAGGUCAACAGGGUCACACGGGCGUGUUGCCCUUCCACACGGGGGUGUGCCCUGUUUUAAGUGACAUUUUUCAAAGUUUUCAAAGGUGUUCGAAUUAAUUCUAGAUAGUUUCAAAAGCUUAAUUUGGCCCUCGUAGACCCAUAUUAAGAAUUUCUAAACUAAGAUUGAAAAGUUUUAAAUUUGAUCAAAUUUUAUGAUUUGAAAUGAUUGUAUGCAUGAGUUUAAGUCAAGUAAUGCCUCCUACCCAGUCCCGGCCUUGGACUCAGGUAAGGGGGUGUUACACAAUCAUACUCUUUAAUUAUCAUCAUUACAUACUAAACAUAUAUCAAAUGGUCUUAUACUAAUAAUUAAACAUUCAUAAGGUCUAUUUAGCAAAAUUUCCCAAUCAAGUAUGUAGGUAUCAAUACUAGAAUAUGGGUAUCAAUAUUUUUCUCAAGUGGUAAUGAUAUUGCUUGGAAAAUCGAUACCAAAUCAACAUUUUGUUUCUCGUCUAAAAUCUAAAGUCUCAAAAAUUAUUGAUACCUUUCAAAAAGUAUCGAUUAUUUUACCCCGAGUAUUGAUGUAACACCCUUUACCCAUAUUCAACGCCAGAACAGGGUACGAGGCAUUAACGGACUUACAUCACAAGCAAACAUACAAAUCGAGUCAUAAAUUUUGCAUCCAAAUUAAAACCAUUUGUAUUCAAUCAUAAUGUCCCAAAUACGAGCCUACAAGGCCCAAAACAUACUUUAGAAGUGGUUCAGGACUAAACGGAGAACUCAGGGAAUUUUUAAAAAUUUAGAAAAUUUUUGCUAUGUAUAAGAUUCACACGCCCGUGUGGUUUGGAACAUGCCCGUAUGGGCAGGCCUUGUGGUCACACACACCCGUGUUCCUAACCCGUAUAACUCUCUAACUUGCAAGUUAUGAACAAGUUGAGGUCACACGACCACGUCACACGCCUGUGUACUAGGCCGUGUGGUUAAUUUAAUUUUCAUAAUAUAGGUGCAGACUUCACAUGCUCGAGACACACACCUGUGCCUGAGGCUGUGUCCCUUACACGACUAAGACACACUCCCAUGUCUCUUCUCGUGUGCUUAAUUCUGAGCAUUCUAUUUCUCAAAAUUUAGGUGUAGGGGACACACAGGUGAAACACAUGCCCAUAGGGCAAGCCAUGUGUCAUACAUGUCCUAGACACACAUCCGUUUGCCUACCUGUGUGGACAAAAUAAAGGCUAUCUACCAAGCCAUUUGCCACCCUCAUUUAUGCCUAUACACACACAAGUUCAAUGACAUAAAUCAUGGUAUACUUAGGCAACCAGAACAUCCAUAAUCAAGGUUAGAACAUAUCAUUUCACUAUCACACAUAACAUAUUUACAACAUCAUAUUCUACCAAACCAAAUCAAACCACACUCACAUCCACAAAUACCAACACAAUACUUCUAUCAUGCAUGAUUUUACUUAGUCUUCUUAGCAUACCAAUGAACCAAUCUUAACCAUUCAAUAACCAAAACCAUUAAGUCACAUUCAUUCAUUUACCAAGCAUUUAUAAACCACAUCACACAAGAGAUAAUUGCAAAUGCAUGCAUAUAUAUAAGCUUAAACCAAUUCAAUCAAAAUGAGCCAAGUUACAUGGCCAAAUACCACAUCAAGCCUUUGACAAUUACACGCCAAUUUAUUUGGCCAAAUUCAUAAUGACACAUAUAACAAAAUGACCAAGUCCCUAUACAUGCUAUAUUCUCAAAAUGUUUAAAAUCAUCGGUACCCAAAAUAACAAAUUGAUAGUGUGAUGCAAUCUCCGGCGAUCUCUAAUCCGAGCUAGCUUGGUGACACUAUAAAACAUGAAAAUAAAACGGAGUAAGCUAUAUAGCUUAGUAAGCUUGUAUGAAAGAAAUAAGCAACCUUACCAUACAUUAAUCAAGCAAGUAAUAUAACAUAAGAUAAUAUAAUUUACCAUAAUCUCAUGAUCAUAAUUCACUUCCAUCACAAGUUACCAUGAAAUCGUCAUCUCACGAAUUAAUAAUCCUAAGCUUUGAGUACAUACUUGUACCAUCUCGUAAUAAUUUCAUACUUAGCCUCAUCGUUGUCAUACUUGUACCAUCUCGUAAUAAUUUCAUACAUAGCCUCUCGUAAUAAUAUCGGAUACACAGGAAAACUUUGCAUACAAGGUGUCACAUAUGUAGCCAUUACUACCUUUAUCUCAUGACACAUAUAUGCUCAUUCUCGAGCUAUCAACGGGUCUACUCACACAAGCUUUCAAGUAACUGCAACAUAUGCCGGUAUAAUUAGCCAUCGAUAGGAUGUACAAGACCAGCACCUGGGUCACAUAACAUAAAACCCUAGUGACAUGUCACUUGUUCUUAAUCUAUUCCUAAGGUUUGAUUGGGAUUUCUUGCUUGCCAAAUCAUCGCCAAAUAUGUUCGUGAGGUCGAUUACACACAUUAUACAUAAAUUAAAGCAUUUAAAAUACAUUUAAAGUAAAGCUUAUUUAACAUACGAACUUACCUCGGUUCUAGAAACAACAAAAGGAUCUAUUCAUCAAUUAUUUUAUUUUUCCCCCGAUCUAGAUUCAAACUUCGUUUUUCUUGAUCUAUAAUGUCAAAUUUAACUUAUUUAAUCAUCACACUAUUCAAUUUAGCCCAAAAACAAAUUAUGGAAAAAUUUACAUUUUUACCCUUAACUUUUUAACAUUUUACAAUUUAGUCCCUAGGCUCUUUCAAUUUUUUCACAACCCAAGCCUAGUCGAUUGUUGUUUAUGCUCAUAACAGCCCACAUUUUUCAUUUAUUCACACUUUUCUACACAUUUUAUAGACUUUUACAAAUAAGUCCCUAUUUAACAUUUUUAUCGAAAAUCACUUUACAAAUGUUGUUUAACUAACAACGAACAUGCAAUUUCUACCAUCAAACAUCAAAAUACAUGCAUCCUCAAAAUGGGUAAAAUUUUAAACUUUUAUUUUCUUUCAAAUUAGUCCUUGAAAUAGCUAAAUCAAGUUACAACGAUCUCAAAAAUGUACAAAUCAUUAAAAACGGGACAAGAAUGAACUUACAAUCGAGCUUGAAAGCUUAGCCAAACCUGAGCUAUGUCUCCUCUUCUAAUUUUCGGCUAUGUGGAUGAAAUUGAAGAAGAUGACAUCUUUUAUUUUAGUUAAUUUGUCUUUAUUUACUAGAUUACCAAAAUUCCCUUCAUUUAAACUUUGAAAAUUUUCCUAACCAAGUCCAUUUUUGUCCAUCCUAAAUAUAAUGGUCUAAUUACCAUUUAAGGACCUUUAAUUUAAGAAUUCAUAACAAUUAAACACCUUUAGCCUAUAGAAUUCAACUUUUCCACCUAUUGCAAUUUAGUCCUUCUAGUCAAAUUGAGUACUCAAUCGAUAAAAUUUCUUAACAAAAUUUUCACACAAUUAUUCUAUCAUGUCAUAAACCUCAAAAUAGAAAUAAAAUAAAAUUUCUACUUCGAAUUUGUGGUCCCAAAACUACUGUUCCAAUUUGAACCAAUAACGGGCUGUUACAACUCUCUCCCUUUAGGGAUUUUUGUCCCCGAAAAUCUUACCAGAAAAGAGGUUAGGGUACUGUUUUCUCAUAGCUUCCUCGGGUUCCCACGUAGUCUCUUCGACCCCGUGUCGUUGCCACAAAACUUUCACUAAAGCUAUUCUUUUAUUUCUCAACUAUUUAACCUCUCAAGUUAACAAUUUGAUCGGCUCUUCACCAAAUGUCAUAUCGAGUCAAAUCUCAAUCUGUGUCGAUGAAAUUACAUGUGAAGGAUCUGAUCGGUAUUGUCACAACAUCGAUACAUGAAACACAUUGUGAAUCCUUUCUAACUCUAACAACAAAGCUAGUCGAUAUGCCAUUGGCCCUAUUCUAUCAAUAAUCUCAUACGGCCCAAUGAAUCGCGGACUCAACUUGCCUUUGUGACCAAACCUAAGAAUUUUCUUCCACGGUGAUACUUUCAGAAAAACUUUAUCACCGACCUAAAAUUCAAUAUCCUUUCAUUUCAAAUCAUCGUACAAUUUCUAUCGAUUUGAAGCUACUUUCAAACAAUCACGAAUUACUUUCACUUUCUCUUCGGUUUGUCUAACCAAAUCAACCCUGUGAAUCUAUUUUUCACUGAGCUCAGUCAAGUAUAGUAGAGUUCGGCACUUGGGACCAUAAAAUUCUUCAUACGGUGCCAUCUUUUUACUCGAUUGAAAAUUGUUGUUGUGAGCAAAUUCGACUAAUGGUGGAUAUUUCUCCCAACUACCUUCGAACUCUAAAACACAACAGCGAAGCAUAGCUUCAAGAAUUUGGAUCACUCUCUCAGAUUGACCGUUAGUUUGCAAAUGAAUUGUGGUAUUAAAAUUCAACUUUGUACCCAACGCUUCUUGCAAUUUCUUCCAAAAUCGCGACGUAAACCUCGGAUCUCUAUCCGAAAUAAUAGAAGUAGGCACUCUGUGCAAUCUAACAAUCUCAAUGUACAAUUCAGCUAGUUUUUCAAGUGAAUAAUCGGUACGUACCAGAAUAAAAUAAGUCGAUUUCAUCAAUCUAUCAACAACGACCUAUGCAACAUCUUUCUUUUUCGAAGUCAAAGGUAACCCCAAUACGAAAUCCAUCGUAACUCUAUCCCAUUUCCACUAGGGUAUCACACAGGCUGAAGCAAACCCAAAGGCACUUGAUGUUCAACCUUGCCUUUUUGACAAAUCUAACAUCUCGCUACAAACUCUGAAAUGUCUCGUUUCAUGCCUAACCACCAAUACAAUUCCUUCAAAUCAUUAUACAUCUUUGUACUUCCAGGAUGAACAGAUAGAAAACCAUUAUAUGCCUCGUAAAGAAUUUUCUAAAUCAGUUCAGUAUCUCUCGGUACACAAAUGCUAUCUUAGAAUCUCAAAUAAUAAUCGGGUCCAAUCUGAUAUUCUGAAUCACUAUUCAGUUUGCAUUGAACUCAUUUAGCUUGCAAAUAAUUAUCACCUUUCUAAGAUUUGCAAAUUUGCUGAAGAAAUACCGGUAUGCUUUCAACUCGACCAAAAUCGAUCCAUCAUCGGAUAAAGUUAAUCGCAUAUUCAUCACUCUUAAAGUAAACGAAGUCUUUCUACUUAAAGUAUCAACAACUACAUUCGCUUUCCCCAGGUGAUAGUUGAUCACUAACUCAUAACCUUUCAACAGUUCGAGCCACCUCCAUUGUCGCAAAUUGAAAUCUCUCUAAGUAAUCAAAUACUUUAAACUCUUGUGAUCAGUAAAGAUAUGGCAUUUCUCACCGAAUAAAUAGUGUCUCCAAAUUUUUAAAACAAACACAAUAGUGGCUAAUUCCAAGUCGUGCGUUGGAUAAUUCUUUUCGUGCGAUUUCAACAAUCUCGAGGCAUAGGCUAUCACUUUACCCUCUUAAAUCAAUACACAACUAAUAAACCGUAAUUUAUAUGUAUUUUUAUCCCAUGCUUAGCACAUUUAUGGAUGGUUUCUCCUUAGAUUUGGUAAAUCCGAUGCUCCUAAUUCUUUAAUUUCAUGUUUUAUCCUUAGCUGAGCAUAGAAGAGUAAAAAGAGCGAGAAACGGGCCGAAAACAAAGGAAAUAGACCCACAUAGGAAAUUAACACGGCCUGGACUUCCUCACACUGGUAAGCCACACGGCCGUGUCCAUUUGGCAGGAUCGAAGUACGACUUUCAUGGGUAGACUACACACCCGUGCCUAUUUAACAGCCUUGACCACAGGCUGGAGCAAUCGCACAUGGGCGUGUCACACGGGCGUGUCCCUGACGAGCCCAAGUAUAGUCCUAUUCAGAAAAGGCCAUUUUUGAGGGCUCUUAGGCAUUCUAAAUCUCAUUUAAACACUUGAGGAGGCACUUAGAAUAGAGACACAGAGUAGGAGGCAAUGAAUUACUCAAGGGAAGCCGAUUGAUAGAUCUCAGAAGCUGGAUUCAUCGUUAACACUGAAGAUCUCCCUUCAAUUUCCAUUUAGGGGUUUUGAGUUUUCUUUAUGUUUUGUAUUCAUUAUUCUUCUCAGAUGUUUUCUUUUAUAAUGAUGAACUAAACCCCCUAAAUGCCUAAGCGGAAUUAAACCUAAAGACGGAUCUUGUUAUUAUUAUCUGAAUUGUAUGAUAAAUAUUUGAAUUGUUCUUAAUUAUGUGUUCUUAAUUCUUGUCUUAAUAUUCCAGGAUAUUGAUUCAAGUUAAUGCUCUUAUUUAGAGGAGCAAAAGUCCUUGUCUAAGAGUAAAUUUGUCAUAAUUGAGCGGAGUUGAUUGCACGCCUAGAGAUAGGGUGACAAGAUUUUGCCAAAUUAGGGUGAAACCUAAUAAGGGGAUCCAUAAAUCGAGUUAAUGCAACACUAGGGCAUUAAUUAGAAAGAGACUUCAAUUAAUCAACCUAGGGUAAGACGUUAUUAGUCUCGAGAGAGAUAAUAAUAUAACUUAGGGAUUUCUACGGAUCAAGUCAAAUGAAUAAAUCGUCUAAUUCAGAGUCAAAUAACAAGUGAAGUCUAGGUGGAUUUUUCCUUGGGUGUUGUCUUAAUCAAUCGAGUUUUCCCAAAAGCUUUUCCCCAAUUUCUCUCUGUGCACUCUUAGUUUAGUUAAUUAGUUUAGAUAAACAAAUCCCUUAAUUUUUAGGCUAGAUAAUGAAAAGAAAGUAAUUACUAGUACUCUUGGUUCCUUUGGGUUUGACAAUCUGGUCUUGCUAAAUCUAUACUACUGUUCGACAGGUUCACUUGCCUUCAUCGUGAUAAUAGUUAGUUUCAAGAUCAAUUAAUUAUAAAUUUUUAAAACUUGUCACGAAUAUCACGUAUCAAGUUUUUGGCGCCGUUGUCGGGGAACUAAGAUAUUAGGAACACUUGAUUUUUAUUACUUUAGCCAUUUUACUUUAUUUGCAAUUUAAUUUUUUUAUUUUCUUUUCUAAUUUUUUCUUUUAUUCACUCCUGGUAGGUUUUUAUAGUGUAUGACUAGAAGCAACCCGUCGGGACCAUUACUAUUUGAUACUGAGAUCGAUCGCACAGUUCACAAAAAUUGAAGAGAAAUAAGGUGAAGCUUAAGAAACACAGAGGAAGAUCAAAAGGACGAUACUUCAACCACAACCGAGGAGAUGGCUGAAAACCAGGAAAAUCUGCUACCUCCUGCGAUUGCCGCUGAUCCAGUAAAUCAGAAUCCUACUUUGCGUACUAUGUAUGAUUAUGGUAUACCUUCUUUAACAAGAAUUGAAUCGAGCAUAGUUAAGCCUGUUAUUACUGCAAAUAAUUUUGAACUGAAACCUAACACCAUUCAAAUGAUACAGUAAUUUGUUCAGUUUGAUGGUUUGCAGGAUGAGGAUCCAAACAACCACUUGGCAAAUUUUCUAGAGUUUUGUGAUACAUUUAAAAUCAAUGGCGUUUCUAAUGAUUCCAUUAGCCUUUGGUUAUUCCCUUUUUCAUUAAGGAACAAAGCUAAACAAUGGUUGAACUCGUUACCACCAGGGUCAAUCACUACUUGGGAACAAAUGACCGAAAAUUUUUUAUUAAAAUAUUUUCCUCUGGCUAAAACAACCAAAUUACGUAAUGAUAUCUCCUCUUUUGUGCAGAUGGAUUUAGAAACACUCUACGAUGCAUGGGAGAGAUACAAGGACCUUUUGAGAAGGUGCCGUCACCAUGGGUUACCACUCUGGCUACAGGUUCAAACGUUUCACAAUAGCUUGAAUCCUUCGACUAGACAGAUGAUUGACGCAGCUGCUGGAAGAACUUUCAAUAAUAAGACACCUGAGGAUGCUUAUGAAUUUAUAGAAGAGAUGUCACUAAAUAAUUAUCAGUGGCAAGUCAUGAGGACAAAACCAACGAAAAUAGCCGGCAUUUUUAACGUCGAUUCGGUCACCAUGCUCUCUAACCAGGUAGAACUUUUGAAUAGAAAAAUUGACGAUUUUCUUGGUUCUUCACAAGUUCACCCAGUAAUGCAGUACGAAGCAAGUGGAGGUGGAUCAAGCAAUUCAGAAUAUCCACCUUAUGGCCACAACAUAGAGAACGAGUAGUUAAAUUACAUGGGUAAUAAUCCUCGAUUUCAAAAUAAUCCUUAUAGUAACACUUAUAGUGUAGGUUGGAGGAACCACCCAAACUUUUCAUGGGGAGGCCAAGGAAAUCAGAGACCACCACCCCCUCCAGGCUUUCAACAACCACCGUACUAGCAAGAAAAGAAGCCAAACCUUAAGGAGAUUCUAACAAAAUUCAUCUCGGUGUCAGAAACUCAUUUUUAGAAUACCGAGACAGCACUUAAGAAUCAAUAAGCGUCGAUCCAAGGGCUCGAAACUCAGAUAGGCUAGCUCACUAAAUUGAUAUCUGAACACCCACAAGGUAGCCUACUGAGUAACACUGAAUCUAACCCAAGGGAGUAGCUCAAUGCAAUUACCAUUCAAGAUGUGGAAGGGUUAGUUACACCUGAACUAGAACCGAGGCAAGAAACUAUGGUAAGUAAAGGUAAAGGUGAGGUGGACCACAAUAACCAAAAACAGGUAAGUAAAGAGUACAAACCAUGUGUACCAUACCCAAAUGCGACAAGCAAAGACCACUCAGGCGAACAAUUUGAUAAAUUCCUUAAACUUUUAAAGAAAUUACAUAUUAACUUACCGUUUAUUAAAGCUCUUUCGCAGAUGCCGAACGUAGUCAAAUUUUUAAAGUAGCUUUUAGCAAAUAAGCAGAAGUUAGAUGAGGCGUCACAUGUGGAGUUAAAUGUAGUUUGCUCAGCCAUACUACAGAAUAAGCUAGCCAACAAAUUGAAGAUCAAGGGAGUUUUAUGAUUCCUUGUUUAAUUGGUAGCUUAGAUGUUAAUAAUGCUUUGGCUAAUUUAGGGGCUAGUAUCAAUGUCAUGUCUUAUAAAAUGUUUAAACAAAUAGGUCUUGGGAAACCCCAACAAACUAGGAUGAGUAUUCAAUUGGUCGAUAAAACUAUCAGAUUUCCUAGAGGUAUUAUUGAAGACAUACUCGUUAAAAUUGACAAAUUUAAGUUUUAGACAUAGAGGAGGAUAGUAACGUGCCUUUAAUUUUAGGAAGGCCCUUUUUAACAACUGCCAAAACUAUAAUUGAUGUUGGUACAGGUAAACUCACACUUCGUGUGGGAGACGAAACAAUCACCCUUCAAGCUCGUAAUUUGAAUAACACAUCAAAAAUUGAGGUGGUUGUAUACAUCAUGCUAUUAAAACUGACCAUGUGGUGCAACCUACUUUGUAGGAAAGAGGUUCAGAGAACACACCUGAGCCAUGUUUGAGUAAUGACAAAGGACCUAUCUAUGAAGAACGAAUGCUACAAAUCAAAGAACUAGAUGAAUGGCAGACACAUAAACUGAGGACACACGAUAAACCAAAACCAUGCAGCAGACCCUCGUAUUGCCACUUCUGAACCUAACAGAGCAAUCCUUCUUACGGUACUCAGUACUUUCCCAUAUGGUACAGUCGAGGUAAUUCAUCCCAAAUUCGGCACUUUUAAGGUAAACAGUACUCGUCUUAAACCUUAUGUUGAUAAAAUUGAUAGCAGGGAUGAGGAGUGUAAACUCCUCGUAACACCAUGACCAUGCAACAGAAAGGUAAGUCAAGCUUAGACUAUAAAUAAGUGCUUCUCGGGAGGCAACCCAAGCACUAACGGUGUUAACUUCUUUAAAUUUUAAUCUUUAACAUUUAAUUCACUAACGAGUCACUGAACACAGGAUUUCCAGAACCACACAGCCAGGCACACGGCCGUGCGAUACGGCUGUGUAAAAAUAGAGAAAAAAUGUUCCCUAACAUGGGAUCUGAUAAGUUGCCACGUCGUGUGAGGCAAUCCUGCCAAAUUAACACGGGCGUGUGACACGACCGUGCCCCCCAACCAUGGUCGAGCCUGUCAAAAUAACACUAGCGUACGUCUGCAUACAUGGGUGUGGGAGAGGCGAACAAAGAUUGACACAGCCGUGUACACCAAUGCACCCAAUUUUGAAACCAUAAAACACACGAGCUGGAAUGAGGGCACACAGGUGUGCCCCACGGCCGUGUGCCCCAAUUUCUUUAUAAACACCUAUUAUUUAUUUUAUUUUUAUCUUUAACUUUUGAAAUUACUUUUUAUUUUCUUUUAAUACUAUUUUAUCUUGAGAUUUUAUAAUUUUUUUAUUCGGCUAUUUCUUUACGAGUAAUUAUGCUUCUUUAUAUUUCCUAAAAAGUUCCUGAUUCUAUCACAGUUAUAAAGAGCUCCAAAGCUCAUCAUCACUUAGGAACUAAAAACUCCACUGGAAAAGGUUCUCCAUGACUGGUAUAUCCUGCUCCACCACAACCAUAGCUACUACCAGAUAUAAUAUUCUUUUGGCGCAUGACUUAGGAACUAAUGAACCUCUACCACCACUGGAGUAUCCUCCUCCAAUCUUAUCAUUGCCUUGGCCGAUUAUUCUCCAUCACUCCAAUUCAAGGAGUCCAUUCAUCAUUCAGGAAGUUUCACUUCUCUCCCUAUCUUAUGAUCUUAUAUCUAUAUCCUCAUGAAUCUAACUUUGUACAUUGAGGACAAUGUACAUCUUAAGUGUGAGGGGGUCUUUUAUAUCAUUAUCACAAAUCCCUAAAUUUUGUCUUGUUCUUAUGUGAUCUUCUCAUACCACUAUUAGAAUGAAUUUUGAUUAAGUUAUGAUUUUUAUUGAUAUGUCUUGAAUUAAAACAUAGGCAUUUAUGCAUUGGUCGUUUAAACUUUAAGAUAUUAGGGAAUCAAGCAUGAUAAGUUGAUUUUUGAGAAUUAAAAAUUUUAUGUUGUUUCCCCAAGUUUAGAUAUUAUCUUGUGUUGAAAUUCACAAGUUUAAACAUAAAAAAGCCAUAAUUUUUGUGAGAUCUUGAGCCUUUAGAGCAUAUGUUAUUUCUUUCAUGCUCACUUUUAUUAUGAGUGCGUCAGUAUUGAUUUGUUAUUCUAGAACUUGCUUGAUUAUGCAUGUCAAGACCACACCAUUUGAUUUGAUAUGUCGAGAUGAUAAAGGCAUUUAGGUUUAACCCACUCACUCCAGAAAAGCCUACCUUCAUAAUUAACCCUUAGUGAACCCCUUUGAGCCAAACAAGCUAUUAAUUAAUUUACCCUCAGUAUUAACCCAUAACCCAUUAUUAUUGAAAUCCCCUAAUUUGAUCCCUAUUUUUGUCGAGAUUUGAUUUGAAUUAAUUGCUUAGCUAUGUUUUAUUCUUCAUUGCAAUAAUUAAGUUCUAUGUUAUUUGACUUGUUCUUAAAAAAAUAAUAAUACUUACAUACAUAUUAGUAGUAAUUCGUCGUUUUUGAGCUUGAGUGUUAAUUCCAUAUUCUGAGAAGAAGCUCAUUUGUAUUCAACUGAUAAUUAGUUAUUUUUCUAGUUAGGUGAUUUUUUUUCAAUUCAAUCUCGAUUCUAACCUAUACUUUUAGCUUGUGACCACACCCCCUAACCAAAGCCACGUUACAACCCUCUAAAGACCUUUUUGAUUGAUGUAUCAUCUCAGUAUAUAGUGGUGGAGAUUUGAUUUUCAUGCAAGCCUAUGGUAAUAACUUUUCAUAUUGGCAAAUGAGUGGUCUAUUUGAGGUCCUUAAACACCUCGAGUGAUUUGAGUGAAUCUCUAGUGAGGAUGUUAAACUCUGUGAUAUUUUGAUCAAAGGUGAUUACUUAAAUGAGGGGGGACUCCUAUGUUUUCGUCAUAAAAUGCUCAACUUGGAAUGUUUGAAACUUUGAUGUACUUUUAGUUGAAUUUUCAAUGUAUGAUUACUUAUGGAUUAUUUUGAGAUAUUAUUGAUAGGGAUUAAAAAUUGAGAAGAAUUUAUUUUGAUUGUGAGUUGAGGAUUUUGCUUGAGGACAAGCAAACGCUUAAAUGUGGGGAUAUUUCAUAAACCAUAAUUUAUACAUAUUUUUAUCCCAUGCUUAACACAUUUAUGGAUGGUUUAUCCUUAGAUUUGGUGAAUUCGAUGCUCCUAAUUCUUCCAUUUCAUGUUUUAUACUUAGGUGAGCAUGGAAGAGUAAAAAGAGCGAGAAACGGGCCGAAAACGGAGAAAAUGGACCUACGACCUGGGCUUCCUCACACGGGUAAGCCACACGAUCGUGUCCAUUUGGCAGGAUCGAAGCACGACUUACACGGGUCGACUACACGCCCAUGCCUAUUUAACAGCCUUGACCACGGGCUAGAGCAAUCGCAUACAAGCGUGUCCCUGACGAGCCCAAGUAUAGUCUUAUUCAGAAAAGGCCACUUUUGAGGGAUCUUAGGCAUUCUAAAUCCCAUUUAAACACUUCAGGAGGCACUUAGAAUAGAAACACAGAGUAGGAGGCAAGGAAUUACUCAAGGGAAGCUGAUUGAUAGAUCUCAAAAACCGGAUUCAUCGUUAAGACUGAAGAUCUCCCUUCAAUUUCCAUUCAGGGGUUUUGGGUUUUCUUUAUGUUUUGUAUUCAUUAUUCUUCUCAGAUGUUUUAAUUGAUAAUUAUUAACAAAACCCCCUAAAUACCUAAGCAGAAUUAAACCUAAAGACAAAUCUUGUUAUUAUUAUCUGAAUUGUAUGAUAAAUAUUUGACUUGUUCUUAAUUAUGUGUUCUUAAUUCUUGUCUUAAUAUUCCAGGAUAUUGAUUCAAGUUAAUGCGCUUAUUCAGAGGAGCAAAAGUCCCUAUCUAAGAGUAAAUUUGUCAUAAUUGAGCGGAGUUGAUUGCACGCCUAGAGAUAGGGUGACAAGAUUUUGCCAAAUUAGGGUGAAACCUAAUAAGGGGAUCCAUAUAAUCGAGUUAAUGCAACACUAUGGCAUUAAUUAGAAAGAUAUUUCAAUUAAUCAACCUAGGGUUAGACGUUAUUAGUCUCGAGAGAGAUAAUAAUGUAACUUAGGGAUUUCUACGGAUCAAGUCAAAUGAAUAAAUCGUCUUAUUCAGAGUCAAAUAACAAGUGAAGUAGAGGUGGAUUUUUCCUUGGGUGUUGUCUUAAUCAAUCGAGUUUUCCCAAAAGCUUUUCCCCAAUUUCUCUCUGUGCACUCUUAGUUUAGUUAAUUAGUUUAGAUAAACAAAUCCUUUAAUUUUUAGGCUAGAUAAUAAAAAGAAAGUAAUUACUAGUACUCUUGGUUCCUUUGGGUUCGACAAUCCGGUCUUGCUAAAGCUAUACUACUGUUCGAUAGGUACACUUGUCUUCAUCAUGAUAAUAGUUAGUUUCAAGAAUGAUUAAUUAUAGAAUUUUAAAACCUGUCACGAAUAUCACGUAUCAACAACCAAGACUGUUCAAUGACGCAUCGCUAAAAAUCACAAACUCUUUCUCCAACUCAGGUUGCACUAACACUAGUGCCUCAAUCAACAACGCUUUCAACUCUUCAAAACUCUUUUGACAUUUCUCAGACCACUCGAAUUUCACAUCCUUUGGUAACAAUUUGGUCAUAGGUGUAGCAAUCAUCAAAAAUCCUUUAACAAAAUGUCGAUAAUAACCAGCCAAACCCAAAAAGCUUCUAACUUCGGAUACAUUUCUUGGUGGUUUCUAAUUGACAACUGCAGAAAUCUUACUUACAUCAACCCGUAUACCUUCUACUGAAACAAUGUGUCCCAAAAAUCCAACUUCUCGAAGCCAAAACUCAUUUUUACUGAAUUUAGCAAACAAUUUCUUAUCUCUCAAGGUCUGCAAUACAAUUCUUAAAUGUUUGGCAUGCUCAGACUCAUCUCAGGAAUAAAUCAGGAUGUAUUUAAUAAAAACAAACACAAACUUAUCUAAAUAUGGUCUAAAGAUUCAAUUCAUCAAGUCCAUAAAAACUGCAGGAGCAUUAAUUAAUCUGAAAGGCAUAAUAAGAAAUUCAUAAUGUCCAUACUUCCUUCUGAACGUGGUUUUCGGCACAUCUGAAUCCUUAACUCUCAAAUGAUAAUAGCCUGAUCUCAAGUCUAUCUUUAAGAACACUAUUGCCCCUUUCAACUGAUCAAACAAAUCAUCAAUUCUCGAUAAAGGAUAGUUGUUCUUUAUCAUAACAUUGUUAAGUUAACAAUAAUCAAUACAAAGUCUCAUGGAUCUGUCUUUCUUCUUGACGAAUAACACUGGUACACCCUAGGGCGAAAAACUCGGUCUCGCAAAACCUUUAUCUGUCAACUCUUGCAACUGAGAUUUUAAUUCAUUCAAUUUGGUAGGAGCCAUUCUAUACGGAGCUAACGAUAUUGGUGAAGUUCCCAAUACUAAAUCAAUAGUAAACUCAACCUCUCUGAUCGGUGGUAAUCCAAGCAAUUCUUCUAGGAACACAUCUGGGUAUUCACAAACUACCAACACAGAUUCAAUCUUCAGUUCAGACACGUUCGUAUUCAAUACAUAGGCAAGAUAAGCUUUACAACCUUUUCUUACAUACCUUUGAGCCGACAUCGACGAAAUCACAAUAGGCAACUCACCUGACUAUCUGAUUCAAUCCGAAGAAUUUCAUUAUUUUAACAUUUUAAUUCAAUAAUCUUUUAUCUACAAUUCAGUAUGACAUCAUGUAGAGUCAACCAAUCCAUUCCAAGAAUUACAUCGAACUCACAAAUGGUAAAAGCAUUAAGUCAGCCGGAAAAUAGUGACCCCGAAUCAUUAAAGGACGACUCUUGCAAACUUUAUCAACUAGAACAUAUUUUCCUAAGAUGUUCGACACUUUAAACACAUACUCAGUCGGCUCAACAGGAAAAUUCUUACUAGAUACCAAAUUCAUCCAAAUAUAAGAAUGAGUCGAUCUAGGAUCGAUCAAUACAACUACAUUAGUAUCAUAGAGAGAAAAUGUACCAAUGAUAACAUCAGGGGAUGAUGCAUCUUCGAGAGCAUGAAUAGCGUAGGUUCUAGUAAAUGCCCUGGCCUCUUAUCUCGCAGUUAACCCUUUCAUCACACCUCUACUACUAUUCCCACUUCCAGUAUUUCUCGGCGGCCUCCCCCUAAUGGCAGUGUUACUCGGCCUUACAUUCUAAAAAUUAUCUUUCUCAGUAAUUUCAGGGCAAUCUCGAAUAAAGUGAUCUUGGGAGCCAUAUUUAAAGCAAGCUCGGCUAUUCAUCUUGCAUUCACCGGGAUGUCGCCUACCACAGUGUUGACAUUCAGGUCUAUUAGACCUAGCAUUACCAAUGCUCGCUAUUGACAUAGCUUCGGCCUUAGAACCCGAAUAUUGCUUUCCACGAUCUCUGUUGGGAUACCCAGCCAAAACAUUAGAAAGAGUAUACAAAUCUCUUAAUUUCUUUAACAGAGAUUGAAAUGACUUAUUUAUCGUCUUUUUCUCAAAUCUCUAGUCUCAACCUUACCCUUUCUCUUUUUUUUUGCUCAACUCUUUGCUUUGCAAGCUCGAUUGACUAGUACAACAAAUUCUUUCAACUCUAAAAUCCCAACUAGCAGUCUGAUGUCCUCAUUCAAUCCAUUUUCAAAUCUCUUGCACAUGAUAGCCUCGAUGGAAACAUAUUCUCGAGCGUACUUACUGAGCCUAACAAAUUCUCGCUCAUAUUUAGUCACAAACAUACGGCCCUAUUUUAGCUCUAAAAACUCUUUGUGUUUCUGAUCAAUGAACCGUUGACUGAUAUAUUUCUUUUUGAACUCAUCUUGAAAGUAUUCCCAGGUUACCCUUUCUUUGGUACCACUGAUACAAGAGUAUUCCACCACUGAUAUACCGAGUCCCUCAGAAGUGAUAUAGCACAUUUCAAACACUCAUCUGGUGUGAAAAAAAUCUCAUCAAAUACCCUGAUAAAGUUCUCAAGCCAAAACUCAGCUCUCUCGGGAUCAUCGUCAACAUUGGCUCUAAAUUCUUUAGCCCCUUAUUUCUGAAUCUUAUUAACUGGAGGCUUCUUCAACCUUAACAAUUCCACACCUUGGGGAGCUAUGGGAACUGCUUUGGGGUUAGGUAGGGGUGGACGAUGUUGGGUAGCCAGAUUUUUUUGAACAAACUCGGCAAACCACUCAUUCAUCCUUUGGAAUAAGGCUUCCCUAGCCUCUCCUCCCUGACUAACUGAUAAAGCGUAAUUUAUACAUAUUUUUACCCAAUGUUUAAUGCAUUUUAUGGGUGAUUUCCCAUUAGAAUUGGUGAAUCCGAUGCUCCUAAUUCUCUAAUUUCAUGUUUUAUACUAGGAGAGCAUAAGAGAGCGAAAGGAAUGAGAAACAGGCCAAAAAUGGAGAAAAUGGGCCAAAUUACAAAAUCAACACAGCCUGGACCUCCUCACACGGGCAGACCACACGGCCGUGUCAAUUUGGCAGGCUCGAGCACAGCCUGAAGUAAUCGCACAAGGGCGUGUCCCUGCAGAGCCCAAUUUGAGUCCAAUUCAGAAAAGGCUAAUUUUAAGGGCUUUUAGGCAUUCCAAAGCCUAUAAAUACACCCUAGAGGAGGAAGAAAGGAAGACACAAAGAAUAGGGGGCAAGGAAUUACCCUAAGAAAGCCGAUUGAUCCAUCUCAGAAGCCAGAUUCAUCAUCAAGACUGAAGAUCUCUCCUCAAUUUCCCUUCGGGAGUUUUAGGUUUUCUUUAUGUUUUGUAUUCUUUAUUAUUCUAAGAUUUUUUUUUGUUUAGUUAUGAACUAAAACCCCUAAAUACCUAAGGGGAAUGAAACCUAAGACGAAUCUUGUUAUUAUUUUCUGAAUCGUAUGAUAAAUAUUUAACUUGUUCUUAAUUAUGUGUUCUUAAUUCUUGUUUUGAUAUCCCAGGAUACUGAUUCAAGAUAAGCUCUUAUUCAGAGGAGGAAUAGACCCUGUUUAAGAUUACAUUUGUCAUAAUUAAGCAAAGUUGAUUGCGCGCCUAGACAUAGGGUGACAAGAUUUUGCUGGAUUAGGGUGAAACCUAAUAAGGAGAUCCAUAGAUCGAGUUAAUGCAACCCUAGAGUGUUAAUUAGUGAAAAGUCUCGGUUAUUCAAUCUAGGGAGUAGAUGUUAUUAGUCUUGAAUAGGGAUAAUAACAUAACUUAGGGAUCUCUACGGAACAAGUUAAAUGAAUAAAUCGUCCGAUUCGGAGCCAGAAUAACAAGUUAGAGUGAGAAUUUGAUGUUGUUAUAGAAGAGAAAAAUGUUCAGCAUGUCAUAAAACAUAAGAAUAAGGGCUGAAAUUAAAUUUUUGAGCCUAGGGGAAAAAUCAUAAUUUUGUAAAAGUUAGGGGGCAAAAAUGUAAUUUUUUCAUAAUGAGAUUUUUGGAUUGAAAUUAGUAGUAUGAGUGUUAAAUGAGCUAAAUAUGUCGUUAGAGAUCAAGAAAGGUGUGGAAUCGACCUCGAACAGGGGAAGGAAAAGUUUUUGGACUAAAUUGCAAAAUUUCCAUAUUUUGCACCGAGGUAAGUUUGCGUGUAAAUAAUACAUUAACUUCAUUUACAUUUUUGUAUUUCAGCCUAUUUUAUAUAUUUUAGUUGAUUUUGAAUCAUAAAUCGACUAUUAGAAGAAUGAAAAUAAGUAAUAGUGAGAGAAAUCCCGGUUGAACUUUCGAAAAGAUUGAAUAAUAUAGAUGAAAUGUAGCUAGAUCACACGUAUGGUGCUGAGUGCACAUCAUGUGUACAAGAGAGCUACGUGAUACUAUGUAGUAGCUAGGUCACAUGUGUGAUACGGGAUGUAUCCUAUGUAGACAAGAGAGCUACGGGAGAGGAUAAAUGUAGCUAGGUCGCAUUUGUGAUUCCAAGUGAAGGACACCAUGUAGACAAGAGAGCUACGAGAUAAAUUGGCUAGGUCACAUGGGUGGUACGAAGUGUUCACCAUGUGUACAAGAGAGCCAAAUUAUAUGAAAUAUGAUGGUGGAGCUGUGUGCUGAAAUCACCAAGUAUCGAGGAUUGAUCUGAAUUGUUCAACAGGAUGAUUUUAUAGUGACAUUGUAAUCAUGAACCUGCACUUGUGAUGUAUGAAAUGUGGUGAAAGUGAAUUGUGAUAUGUAGGCUAAAUGAGGUAAAUACAAAGAAAGUGUGAAAGAGUGAAUUAGCAAUAAUACUGUUUUGGACAGUUGCAGUGACGUGAAUUUGAAAAAUCACCAAACAUAGUAGGAAUUUAAUUA